CGGAGCUGGAACUCAGGAUGGAACUCAGGACGGGACUGAAACUGGAGCAGGCUGAGGUGUGCAGCAUCCCGCAGGGUCUCAGCCAG
rnacentral:lncRNA from 1 species